AUUGAACGCUGGCGGCAGGCCUAACACAUGCAAGUCGAGCGGGGUUUUCGGACCUAGCGGCGGACGGGUGAGUAGUGCGUAGGAAGCUACCCGAUAGAGGGGGAUACCAGUUGGAAACGACUGUUAAUACCGCAUAAUGUCUACGGACCAAAGUGUGGGACCUUCGGGCCACAUGCUAUCGGAUGCGCCUACGUGGGAUUAGCUAGUUGGUGGGGUAAUGGCUCACCAAGGCGACGAUCCCUAGCUGGUUUGAGAGGAUGAUCAGCCACACUGGAACUGAGACACGGUCCAGACUCCUACGGGAGGCAGCAGUGGGGAAUAUUGGACAAUGGGCGCAAGCCUGAUCCAGCCAUGCCGCGUGCGUGAAGAAGGCCUUCGGGUUGUAAAGCACUUUCAGUAGGGAGGAAGGGUGUUGUGUUAAUAGCACAGCAUUUUGACGUUACCUACAGAAGAAGCACCGGCUAACUCUGUGCCAGCCGCCGCCGUAA
rnacentral:rRNA from 1 species